rnacentral:rRNA from 1 species
AACGAACGCUGGCGGCAUGCCUAACACAUGCAAGUCGAACGAGACCUUCGGGUCUUGUGGCGCACGGGUGCGUAACGCGUGGGAACCUGACCUUAGGUUCGGAAUACCUCCCCGACAGGGGUGAUAAUAGCGGAUAAUGUCUUCGGACCAAAGAUUUAUCGCCUUUGUAUGGGCCCGCGUUGGAUUAGCUAGUUGGUAGGGUAAAAGCCUACCAAGGCGAGGAUCCAUAGCUGGUAUGUGAGACUGAUCAGCCACACCGGGACUGGGACGCGGCCCAGACUCUUACGCGAGGCAGCAGUGGGGAAUAUUGGACCAUGGGCGAAAGGCUGAUCCAGCUAGGCCGCGUGAGUUAUGAAGGCCUUAGGGUUGUAAAGCUCAUUUAACCAGGCUGAUAAUGACAGUACCUAGAGAAUAAGCCACGGCUAACUCCGUG